rnacentral:lncRNA from 1 species
AUUUUGAGUUUUAGGAUUGGUUAUAAUCUCAUUUAGUUCAACGUUGGAUUGUACUGAAAUUGGAAUUGUUUAAUUAAGACCAGCUUUUCUAUUGAUGUGGACUGUUUGGAAUUGAUUUGGAGUGUGUGAAUUAUGUGGAUUGGGACUGUUUAACUAGUAUUAUUUAUGGUGUUUAAUUUCGUAAUGAACUUCUAUGGACUGUUAAUCCAGCUCAGUUUACUCCUAUGAGUAUGAGAAAUCUGUAGUUAGUUAUUUUAAUUUGGUUUAAUUGGUGUUAAUAGCAUAGUAUAGUACAGUAUGAUCUAGUUUCGUUUUUCAGUAAUGUAA